rnacentral:rRNA from 1 species
UACGUAGGGUGCGAGCGUUAAUCGGAAUUACUGGGCGUAAAGCGUGCGCAGGCGGUUUUGUAAGUCUGACGUGAAAUCCCCGGGCUCAACCUGGGAAUGGCGUUGGAGACUGCAAGGCUGGAAUCUGGCAGAGGGGGGUAGAAUUCCACGUGUAGCAGUGAAAUGCGUAGAGAUGUGGAGGAACACCGGUGGCGAAGGCGGCGACCUGGGUCGAGACUGACGCUGAGGCGCGAAAGCGUGGGGAGCAAAAGGG